rnacentral:tRNA from 14 species
GGAGAGGUUCCCGAGUGGCUAAAGGGGGCAGACUGUAAAUCUGCUGGCUCAGCCUACGUUGGUUCGAAUCCAGCCCUCUCCACCA